AUUCGGCUUAGAGUUUGAUCCUGGCUCAGAGCGAACGCUGGCGGCAGGCUUAACACAUGCAAGUCGAGCGCCCGGGCAACCGGGAGCGGCAGACGGGUGAGUAACACGUGGGAACGUGCCCUUUGGUUCGGAACAACCCAGGGAAACUUGGGCUAAUACCGGAUAAGCCCUUACGGGGAAAGAUUUAUCGCCGAAGGAUCGGCCCGCGUCUGAUUAGCUAGUUGGUGGGGUAACGGCCCACCAAGGCGACGAUCAGUAGCUGGUCUGAGAGGAUGAUCAGCCACACUGGGACUGAGACACGGCCCAGACUCCUACGGGAGGCAGCAGUGGGGAAUAUUGGACAAUGGGGGAAACCCUGAUCCAGCCAUGCCGCGUGAGUGAUGAAGGCCCUAGGGUUGUAAAGCUCUUUCGGUGGGGA
rnacentral:rRNA from 1 species